UAGCGGCGAGUGAAGCGGCAAAAGCUCAAAUUUGAAAUCUGGCGUCUUUGGCGUCCGAGUUGUAAUUUGAAGAAGGUAUCUUUGGGCCCGGCUCUUGUCUAUGUUCCUUGGAACAGGACGUCACAGAGGGUGAGAAUCCCGUGCGAUGAGAUGACCCGGGUCUGUGUAAAGUUCCUUCGACGAGUCGAGUUGUUUGGGAAUGCAGCUCUAAGUGGGUGGUAAAUUCCAUCUAAAGCUAAAUAUUGGCGAGAGACCGAUAGCGAACAAGUACAGUGAUGGAAAGAUGAAAAGAACUUUGAAAAGAGAGUGAAAAAGUACGUGAAAUUGUUGAAAGGGAAGGGCUUGAGAUCAGACUUGGUAUUUUGCAUGUUGCUCUCUCGGGGGCGGCCGCUGCGGUUUACCGGGCCAGCAUCGGUUUGGAGCGGCAGGAUAAUGGCGGAGGAAUGUGGCACGGCUUCUGCUGUGUGUUAUAGCCUCUGACGAUGCUGCCAGCCUAGACCGAGGACUGCGGUUUUUAACCUAGGAUGUUGGCAUAAUGAUCUUAAGUCGCCCGUCUU
rnacentral:rRNA from 1 species